UCAAACUGUUUAAAAGUAUGGUUCUGCUAUCACUCUUGGGAUGGGACCUGCGGUGCAUUAGCUAGUUGGGUAGGGUAACGGGCCGUACCAAGGCGAUGAUGCAUAGCCCGAGUUGAGAGACUGAUCGGGCCACAUUGGGGACUGAGACACGGGCCCAAACUCCUACGGGAGGCAGCAGUAGGGAAUCUUCCGCAAUGGACGCAAGUCUGAUGGAGCAAACGCCGCGUGAGUGAAGAAGGGUUUCGGCUCGUAAAAAGCUCUGUUGUUGGUGAAGAAGGACAGGGGUAGUAACUGACCCUUUGUUUGACGGUAAUCAAUUAGAAAGUCACGGGCUAACUACGUGCCAGCAGCCGCGGUAAAU
rnacentral:rRNA from 1 species